UGUUGCAAAAUUAAUUGAUUCCCAUAUUCUUAUAACUCUCACUUUAAUGUUCCAUGACUGCCCAACUGUUGUCAAUUGUCUAAUUUUUUUGUAUGUCAUAUUGUUAGGACCUGUACGACAUGAAGAAGAGGUGGCAUGAGGUUGGCAGAGGGAGUAUCCGACUCGUCGUGCCCCCCGGCAUCGAGGCGCUGCCUCAGCGUGAAGGGAUGUUGAAGAUGGAGGGAAGCUGUCUCCGGCAGCUGACACACAGAAAAUAAGCCCAUAGUAAUUGUUGUUUGAAUCUGCUAUUUUGACAUCUAUUUAUUUAUAAAGCUGCAAUCCUUUUUCU